UGUUCCCUGUCAGUUUGUGAGCACCAGAAGCCAUCGAAUUCCCUCGUGCACCUAAUCCUUAGGCGCCUGAAGGAUGUGAUCUAGCUUCCUGUUCCCGCUGCUAUGCCUUCCUGGCCACGAUGGAAUUUCCUCCCUGGGAACUUCAAGAUACAAUAAUUCCUUUUCUUCUCGAGACUGCUUUUGGUCAUGGUAUUAUCGUAGCAUCAGAAAAGUAACUAUGGCGAGAGUCAUCUGAGAAGAGAAAACCUCAGCUGAAAACCCGUCUCCGCUGGGUGUGGUGGCGCACGCCGGUGAUCCAAGCACUCGGGGAGGCAGCGGCAGGCGGAUCUCUGAGUUUGAGGUCAACCAGGUCUAUAAAGAGGAUCCAAGACAGCCAAGGCUACACCAAGAGACCCUGUUUUGGAAAGGAAACAAACGAAAGAAAGAAAGAAGGAAAGAAAGAAGGAAAGAAGGAAAGAAAGAAAGAAAGAAGGAAAGAAAGAAAGAAAGAAAGAAGGAAAGAAGGAGAGAUCUCCCUACGGUGGGCUUGUAGGCAAUCCUGUGGCAAAGUGUCUUGCGUGCUGGCAGCUCUGUGAGAGCCCAGCCCAGCGUGGGUGGCGCCUUCACGGGGCAGGUGCUCCUGGGGUGUAUAAUCCGGUAGUGGGCAUUCCUCCAGGAUAACAGCCUCUGCUCCUUCCUCCGAGUUGCUGCCUUAGCUUCUCCAUGAUGAACUGUGGGAAGCCGUGUAGACUCUUUCCUCCUUGUGGUGCUUUUACAUGUGGUAUUUAUCACAGCAGUAGAAAUACCAACUAAAGCACAGGAAAAAAAAUCAAGCUUUCCCAUGAGUGGAAAGGGGCAGGCAUUUUAGAAUAUGUAAGUUUCGUAUUCUAGAAGAAAAGCCAAGAGAAGAGAUGGCUGUUCACAGCACAGGUGAGACAGGAGGCCUCACGCCCAGCAUGGCUGCGCUAUGGCAGUUCAAUACAACACCCUUGGCCUGCACCUUCCCAUUAGCCCUUUACCACGCACUUUUUUUUUCUUGUAUAAACUAGACUAUGAGCCCCUUGAGAGGAAAGAACAAGCAUGAAUAACUUAUCCUUUGCAAUGUGUA